rnacentral:lncRNA from 1 species
GUGGAACUGUAAUAUAAAUGGAAAGCUUUCAUUGCCGUUCCAUAUCUCAGUCAUAGUGAGUCCCUAAAUUAUUGUUUAAUUGAUUGGAACAUAUAGAGAUUUAACUACUGUUAUGGUAGACCAUUUCUGAUGAAGAAAGAAAUUCCAAAGAAACUGAGGAUUAUAUCAAUAAUCCAUCUACCAGCAAGCGUAAAUAGUUAUCAAAGGUACCCGGCUUAUAGUAAAGCGUAAAAUGCGAUUUAUCGUUUGCCCAUUAUGGAAUUAUUUUUCGCUUGAUAAAACCAACAAGUAUUCGAUAAAUAGGUCAUCACCGAGUUGUUAUCCUUACUAUCUAUCCUACUAUGUACCAUUAUUUUAACUUCUUGAUGCAUUUAAUAAACUAAAAUAAAAAUACAUUCUAAACCCCA